rnacentral:rRNA from 1 species
UACGUAGGUGGCAAGCGUUGUCCGGAAUUAUUGGGCGUAAAGCGCGCGCAGGCGGUCCUUUAAGUCUGAUGUGAAAGCCCACGGCUCAACCGUGGAGGGUCAUUGGAAACUGGGGGACUUGAGUACAGAAGAGGAAAGCGGAAUUCCACGUGUAGCGGUGAAAUGCGUAGAGAUGUGGAGGAACACCAGUGGCGAAGGCGGCUUUCUGGUCUGUAACUGGCGCUGAGGCGCGAAAGCGUGGGGAGCAAACAGG